UACGUAGGGUGCGAGCGUUAAUCGGAAUUACUGGGCGUAAAGCGUGCGCAGGCGGCGCGUUAAGACAGGUGUGAAAGCCCCGAGCUUAACUUGGGAAUUGCGCUUGUGACUGGCGUGCUGGAGUGUGGCAGAGGGAGGUGGAAUUCCACGUGUAGCAGUGAAAUGCGUAGAUAUGUGGAGGAACACCGAUGGCGAAGGCAGCCUCCUGGGCCAGCACUGACGCUCAUGCACGAAAGCGUGGGGAGCAAACAGG
rnacentral:rRNA from 1 species